rnacentral:rRNA from 1 species
GACUAACGCUGGCGGCGUGCCUAACACAUGCAAGUCGAGCGGGGUAGCAAUACCCAGCGCCAGACGGGUGAGUAACACGUGGUCAACCUUCCCGAUAGUGGGGGAUAACUAGCCGAAAGGUUAGCUAAUACCGCAUACGAUCUUCGAGUGGCAUCCCUUGAAGAUGAAAGGAGCAAUCCGCUUUCGGACGGGACCGCGUC